AUGUUGACGGUGACAGACGUUCAAAAGGUGUAUCAUCCAAACGUUGUUAUCUCCGUGAACACCCCUGAAGAUAUUAAGAAGAGCAGACAAGGGACCGCAGUCUGUUCUCUGACCGACUUCCAACCGGCGCACUUCACCGUGACCUGGCUGAAAAAUGGACAGCCGGUGAAUUCCGGCGUCCUCACCUCCCCUGCUUUUGACGUGAAUGGGAACUUCUCAGCGACAAGCCAGGUGACUUUCACGGCGACGGAAUGGUUCGCAGGCUCUGUCUAUACCUGCCAGGUUACGCACAAAAAUUACAUGCAAAGCCGAAAUAUCAGCGAAUUUCCAGAUAACUGCGACAAACUACAAGUAACAAUUGAACCACCACCAGUGGAGCAGGUGUUACUGGAGGUGAGCGUCACCUUAACCUGCGUCAUCACUAAUGCGCCUUACGGCGUCCAAGUGUCCUGGAGGCGAGGAGAGAAUGUGUUGAAAACAGAGACUGCCUACCAGCAAGGAGAUCCCCUCCAUAGCGUGAUCAGCCAACUGAAUAUUUCGACACAAGCUUGGCUGAGUGGGGACUUAUUCGAAUGCGUGGUUAGCCACGAGGAAAUGCCGACACCAAAAAAGGCUUACAUCCACAAGGAAAAACCUCCACAUCCUCAGGAACCAUCCGUCUCUGUCCUCCUUCCGCCAACAAGUGAAGAGUCCACAGAGAACACUGUCAUCCUCACCUGCUUAGUGAGAGGGUUCUCGCCUCGGGAGAUCUUCGUCACGUGGACGGUCCAUGACACGCGGGUGGAUUCACGUAACUACACGAAUACCGCAGUUGCGGAAGAGAACGGCAACAAUUCAUUCUUCAUGUACAGCCUGUUGUCUGUUCGUUCGGAACAAUGGUCCCGAGGUGCUUCUUUCUCCUGUGUUGUGGCACAUGAAACCCUCCCGAUGAAGAUCAUCUCAAGAACCGUUAAUCGGUCCGGUGAUAAACCCAGUUUUGUCAACGUAUCCCUUGUGCUGUUGGAUACUGUCGACUAUUGUCAGUGA